UACGUAGGGGGCGAGCGUUGUCCGGAAUUAUUGGGCGUAAAGAGCUCGUAGGCGGUGUGUCGCGUCGGCCGUGAAACUUGGGGCUUAACUCUGAGCGUGCGGUCGAUACGGGCAUCACUUGAGUUCGGCAGGGGAGACUGGAAUUCCUGGUGUAGCGGUGAAAUGCGCAGAUAUCAGGAGGAACACCGGUGGCGAAGGCGGGUCUCUGGGCCGAUACUGACGCUGAGGAGCGAAAGCCGUGGGGAGCGAACAGG
rnacentral:rRNA from 1 species